GACGAACGCUGGCGGCGUGCCUAAUACAUGCAAGUCGGGCGGACCGAACGAGGGCUUGCUCUUGUUUGGUCAGCGGCGGACGGGUGAGUAACACGUGGGCAACCUGCCCGCAAGACCGGGAUAACUCCGGGAAACCGGAGCUAAUACCGGAUAACACCGAAGACCGCAUGGUCUUCGGUUGAAAGGCGGCCUUUGGGCUGUCACUUGCGGAUGGGCCCGCGGCGCAUUAGCUAGUUGGUGAGGUAACGGCUCACCAAGGCGACGAUGCGUAGCCGGCCUGAGAGGGUGACCGGCCACACUGGGACUGAGACACGGCCCAGACCCCUACGGGAGGCAGCAGUAGGGAAUCUUCCGCAAUGGGCGAAAGCCUGACGGAGCGACGCCGCGUGAGCGAAGAAGGCCUUCGGGUCGUAAAGCUCUGUUGUGAGGGACGAAGGAGCGCCGUUCGAAGAGGGCGGCGCAGUGACGGUACCUCACGAGAAAGCCCCGGCUAACUACGUG
rnacentral:rRNA from 1 species